AUGGGGAACUGCCUCAAAUCCCCCACCUCGGAUGACAUCUCCCUGCUUCAGGAGUCUCAGUCCGACUGGGCUAGCUUUAGCGAGGGAACUAAGCCGUAUCAGGAGCCGCUGCCAUAUCAGGAACAGGUUCCAGCUCCAGUCUACCAUCCAACACCUAGCAAACACCUAUCCUAACAAAUUAGGAUAGCUCAAAGAAUAGGCCUUAUACAACAUCUGCCUAAAGGAGUUUAUGACCCUGGAAGAGAUGGAUCAGUAAAACAGAUCUGGGAGUGUGUGAUCUGUAUGAUGGACUUUGUUUAUGGGGACCCAAUUCAAUUUCUUCCAAUUCAAUUUCUACCGUGCAUGUACAUCUACCACCUGGACUGUAUUAUGACUGGUAGAUGAGAUCCUUCACGUGCCCCUCCUCCAUGGAGCCAGUUGAUGCAGCACUGCUUUCAACC
rnacentral:lncRNA from 1 species